AANGAACGUUUGCGGCGGGCUUAACACAUGCAAGUCGAACGGGCUGUUCCUUCGGGGGCAGUCAGUGGCGCACGGGUGCGUAACACGUAGGUAAUCAACCCUCUGGUUGGGGAUAACACUUCGAAAGGAGUGCUAAUACCCGGUAUGGCGCAGCGGUCUUCGGAAUCGCGGCGAGAAAGACCCGCAAGGGUUGCCAGAGGACGAGCCUGCGGCCCAUCAGCUAGUUGGCGAGGUAACGGCUCACCAAGGCGAAGACGGGUAGCUGGUCUGAGAGGAUGAUCAGCCACACUGGAACUGAGACACGGUCCAGACUCCUACGGGAGGCAGCAGUGGGGAAUAUUGCGCAAUGGGCGAAAGCCUGACGCAGCCACGCCGCGUGAGCGAUGAAGGCCUGGUCGUAAGACUCUGUGGGAGGAGAAGAAUAAAGACCUGUGAAGAGCAGGCCUUGACGGUAUACUCCUUAGUCAAGACACCGGCUAACUCCGU
rnacentral:rRNA from 1 species